UUGGUUAAGUUAGAAAGGGCGCACGGUGGAUGCCUUGGCACUAGGAGCCGAAGAAGGACGGGACUAACACCGAUAUGCUUUGGGGAGCUGUACGUAAGCGUUGAUCCAGAGAUUUCCGAAUGGGGGAACCCACUAUCUUUAGUCGGAUAGUAUCCUUACGUGAAUACAUAGCGUGAGGAAGGCAGACCCAGGGAACUGAAACAUCUAAGUACCUGGAGGAAGAGAAAGAAAAAUCGAUUUCCUGAGUAGCGGCGAGCGAAACGGAAAGAGCCCAAACCAAGAAGCUUGCUUCUUGGGGUUGUAGGACACUCUAUACGGAGUUACAAAAGAAAGUUAUAAAUGAAGCGGUCUGGAAAGGCCCGCCAAAGACGGUAACAGCCCGGUAGUUGAAAUGGCUUUCCCUCCAGAGUGGAUCCUGAGUACGGCGGAACACGUGAAAUUCCGUCGGAAUCCGGGAGGACCAUCUCCCAAGGCUAAAUACUCCCUAGUGACCGAUAGUGAACCAGUACCGUGAGGGAAAGGUGAAAAGCACCCCGGAAGGGGAGUGAAACAGUUCCUGAAACCGUGUGCCUACAAGUAGUUAGAGCCCGUUAAUGGGUGAUAGCGUGCCUUUUGUAGAAUGAACCGGCGAGUUACGAUUUGUUGCAAGGUUAAGCGGAAAAAGCGGAGCCGUAGCGAAAGCGAGUCUGAAUAGGGCGCAUAAGUAACAGGUCGUAGACCCGAAACCAGGUGAUCUACCCAUGUCCAGGAUGAAGGUAAGGUAAUACUUACUGGAGGUCCGAACCCACGCACGUUGAAAAGUGCGGGGAUGAGGUGUGGGUGGCGGAGAAAUUCCAAUCGAACUUGGAGAUAGCUGGUUCUCUCCGAAAUAGCUUUAGGGCUAGCCUCGAGGUAAAGAGUCAUGGAGGUAGAGCACUGUUUGGACUAGGGGCCCUUCUCGGGUUACCGAAUUCAGAUAAACUCCGAAUGCCAUGUACUUAUACUCGGGAGUCAGACUGCGAGUGAUAAGAUCCGUAGUCGAAAGGGAAACAGCCCAGACCACCAGUUAAGGUCCCCAAAUAUAUGUUAAGUGGAAAAGGAUGUGGGGUUGCUUAGACAACCAGGAUGUUGGCUUAGAAGCAGCCACCAUUGAAAGAGUGCGUAAUAGCUCACUGGUCGAGUGACCCCGCGCCGAAAAUGUACCGGGGCUAAACAUAUUACCGAAACUGUGGAUGAACCUCUUUAGAGGUUCGUGGUAGGAGAGCGUUCUAAGGGCGGUGAAGUCAGACCGGAAGGACUGGUGGAGCGCUUAGAAGUGAGAAUGCCGGUAUGAGUAGCGAAAGAAGGGUGAGAAUCCCUUCCACCGAAUAUCUAAGGUUUCCUGAGGAAGGCUCGUCCGCUCAGGGUUAGUCGGGACCUAAGCCGAGGCCGAUAGGCGUAGGCGAUGGACAACAGGUAGAGAUUCCUGUACCAGUGCUAAUUGUUUAACCGAUGGGGUGACACAGAAGGAUAGGGAAUCGCACGAAUGGAAAUGUGCGUCCAAGCAGUGAGUGUGAGAAGUAGGCAAAUCCGCUUCUCGCGAAGCAUGAGCUGUGAUGGGGAAGGAAAUUAAGUACGGAAGUUCCUGAUUUCACGCUGUCAAGAAAAGCCUCUAGGAAGAGUAGUACUGCCCGUACCGCAAACCGACACAGGUAGAUGAGGAGAGAAUCCUAAGGUGAGCGAGAGAACUCUCGUUAAGGAACUCGGCAAAAUGACCCCGUAACUUCGGGAGAAGGGGUGCUCUAUUAGGGUGCAAGCCCGAGAGAGCCGCAGUGAAUAGGCCCAGGCGACUGUUUAGCAAAAACACAGGUCUCUGCAAAACCGUAAGGUGACGUAUAGGGGCUGACGCCUGCCCGGUGCUGGAAGGUUAAGAGGAGUGCUUAGCUUCGGCGAAGGUACGAAUUGAAGCCCCAGUAAACGGCGGCCGUAACUAUAACGGUCCUAAGGUAGCGAAAUUCCUUGUCGGGUAAGUUCCGACCCGCACGAAAGGCGCAACGAUCUGGGCACUGUCUCAACGAGAGACUCGGUGAAAUUAUAGUACCUGUGAAGAUGCAGGUUACCCGCGACAGGACGGAAAGACCCCGUGGAGCUUUACUGCAACCUGAUAUGGAAUGUUUGUACCGCU
rnacentral:rRNA from 1 species